UACGUAGGGAGCAAGCGUUGUCCGGAAUCAUUGGGCGUAAAGCGCGCGUAGGCGGCCCCGUAAGUCCGCUGUGAAAGUCAAAGGCUCAACCUUUGAAAGCCGGUGGAUACUGUGGGGCUAGAGUACGGAAGAGGCGAGUGGAAUUCCUGGUGUAGCGGUGGAAUGCGCAGAUAUCAGGAGGAACACCGGUGGCGAAGGCGGAUCUCUGGGCCGAUACUGACGCUGAGGAGCGAAAGCGUGGGGAGCGAACAGG
rnacentral:rRNA from 1 species